ACAUAUUAUAUGGGUAGGACAUGAAUUUGGAACAAUACCCAAAAGAUCAGCAUGGAUCCUACGCAAGAAUGACACACACAAAUCAUUGUAUGGUCUAAAUAUUU